rnacentral:rRNA from 1 species
UACGUAGGGUGCAAGCGUUGUCCGGAAUUAUUGGGCGUAAAGAGCUCGUAGGCGGUGUGUCACGUCGGCCGUGAAAACCUGCAGCUUAACUGUGGGCGUGCGGUCGAUACGGGCAUCACUGGAGUUCGGCAGGGGAGACUGGAAUUCCUGGUGUAGCGGUGAAAUGCGCAGAUAUCAGGAGGAACACCGGUGGCGAAGGCGGGUCUCUGGGCCGAUGACUGACGCUGGAGGAGCGAAAGCGUGGGGAGCGAACAGG